rnacentral:rRNA from 1 species
GAUGAACGCUGGCGGCGUGCCUAAUACAUGCAAGUCGAGCGAACAGACGAGGAGCUUGCUCCUCUGACGUUAGCGGCGGACGGGUGAGUAACACGUGGAUAACCUACCUAUAAGACUGGGAUAACUUCGGGAAACCGGAGCUAAUACCGGAUAAUAUAUUGAACCGCAUGGUUCAAUAGUGAAAGACGGUUUUGCUGUCACUUAUAGAUGGAUCCGCGCCGCAUUAGCUAGUUGGUAAGGUAACGGCUUACCAAGGCAACGAUGCGUAGCCGACCUGAGAGGGUAAUAGGCCACACUAGAACUGAGACACGGUCCAGACUACUACGGGAGGCAGCAGUAGGGAAUCUUCCGCAAUGGGCGAAAGCCUGACGGAGCAACGCCGCGUGAGUGAUGAAGGUCUUCGGAUCGUAAAACUCUGUUAUUAGGGAAGAACAAAUGUGUAAGUAACUAUGCACGUCUUGACGGUACCUAAUCAGAAAGCCACGGCUAACUACGUG